ACCCGCGGCUGAAAAAUGGGGAAGAAAUCUUGAGAGUGAAGAGUUCAUGAGAUGCGUGCGAAGCAAGGCGUUCACAAUGAUUCAACUUCCGUGGCAAUGAUUCGCUCCACCAUCAGCUCAUUUCAAUAAUCAACGAUUCAACAAUCAUUUUCGCAGCUUUUUCUCUCGAAUUCUUCCUUUAUAUUCAACGCAGAGGCUUCGUCGUCUCCUCCGAUUCCACUGUUCAUCGUCGAGUUCCAUUUCCAUGGAGGUCGUUGAUUUAAAGGUUUGUUUGCAUUGCAAGUCCUGCGAAAAUGCUGUUCGCAAAACGCUUUGCAAAAUCAAAGGAGUGAAAUGUGUGGAAACAAAUAUAGCUCUAAACAAGAUCACCGUGUUGGGUUACAUGGAUCGUAAAAUGGUCAUCAAGGAGGUACGAAAAACAGGACGAAAGGCCGAGGUAUUGCCAUCUUCGUCCCUCCGCCCCUCGACUCCACGUCGGAGAAGUCGAAGAGCAACAUCUGCAUUCAAAUGUAUGUUGCCAUCUUGUUUUCGCUAAA